AUUAAUUGCUGUCAAAUGACCAGGUUGACGAGUUAAUGUGAUGGCAACUUUUCAGUAGCUAUGCCCUGAAGCAUAACAUGCUUUACUACUUUAACAAGAGUGUUACUCACUAAGCACCUGUGUUUAGAAACUAAGUGGAGACCCAGCUAACUGCUGCUGACAUGGUCAAUUUUAUUUCAGCACUUUACUCUGCUGUCAGAAAGCCUAUUUGCUUUAGCACUAUUUGAUGACACCACAAAGGUUAGAUGAAAUAUAAAACAUAAUGACUGACUUAAUAAAAAUAAUGCUUACCUGAGCUGGAUAAAACUUGGGAUGAGACCAUGAAAAUCUGGACAAUUGAAAAUGUCAAUUAAGCCCCCCCACCCCCAUCCAUCCCCAGAGCUGCAGUUUUCUGGUGUGUGUCAUCACUGGAUAUUACAUUUUUCAAGAUGGGAAAAGUACAAAAGUAAUGUCCAAAUCCGAUAUUGUUACCCAAUCAACAGAAAUAUGCUGGAUGUUUGUGCGUUUGUGUGUGCACGAUGGAGGCAGAGCACAGAGUUAUUGUAAGAGAUUUUAACCACGGGGAAUGAAAACGAAUAAAACUGCAAUGAAAAGUUAAUUUCUGCUGGACAAAUUGCUCUAAUAUCAUUUAGAGACAUCAAAACUCUUCAGUUUUCUUUGUAAAUCCACUAGAGUGAGGUCUGGUACAGUACACAGCUAAAAUAUUA